ACGGAAUUCUGGGAGUGACAAUGAAGAGAUACUUAAGUAAGCAUUAGCUCUCCUGGAUGACUCUUGCAAGCUGAGAAUAGCCCAGCACUACACCCAUGAUCAUUGUUCAGCCGCUGUUUCCUCUUCCUUUUCUCUUGUUUUAUUAAGGAAAGUGUCAAACAUGCAUAACAGCAGGGAGAAAAGAACAGUGAAGCCCCAUGUACCCAUCACUCAGCUUCAGCAAAUGGUGGCUUGUUUCAGACCCUAUAUUCAGUAGACACUUUCCAAAAAGUAAAAAAAAAAGAAAGAAAGAAAGAAA